GCGAAUACGGCUGCCAUCGCUUAGCCGCUGUCCUGUUGCCUGCGGGGUGGGUGUGGGGAGAAGAAACCCAAUUAUAAAUAGUCAGAUGAACUCCAGCUCACUGGGCAGUGAACUUCUUGUAUAUAGCUGCUUUGUAAAAUGAAACUAGCCCAUGCGUCUCCGGGUGGAAAAAGAAAGCGAGCAGGGACCACACCUCUUCUAUUAUGUGCAUAGAUCUGCCCAUCCGGGUCUGGCAGCGCUUGCCUAGCUAAAUGAAAUAUCGUUAUAAACAUGGGACUACUGGGUGGUUGGUUGUUAACUGUUUAGGGCACAACUUGAAAUAAUACAGUUUGGCCUGGACCAUGGGCUGGAAUGGGAUUUUCCAUCCUGAGACGUGACCAGAUCUGGGUUGCCUGCUUCCCUCUGCUGUGCAUAGCUUAUAAAUAACCCCCUUCUCAUCCUCAGAACAGCUCAUUCUUUUUUUUUUUUUUAAACAUAAGAAUUAAAAAAAAGACGGGCAGGCAAGCAAUAGUGAAAGUGCCACCAUGUUGUUCUAUUUUAAAUCCCGCUUGCCUGCAAUUUCGCAUGCAGGCAGGGGAGGAGACCACGGGGUCAGCCCACCACCGCCUGCCUGGCCACUGCGGUGUGCGUGUGCCUGUGUGCACUUAUUGUUUUAUCCUCACGUCACCUUUCAGCCUGCGCCGCUCACCCUCCCUCCAUCCCCCAAACCUUUGAUUAAUAGGUUUGCUUGCUUUUUAUAUCCACACAUGUGGCGCAUCUGGAGCAAGGCGUGCCUCCGCUUUCUUGUUGUUGUUGUUUUAUCUCCCUCUCUAUCUAUAUGUGCGCGUUAUUAUUUUUUUUUUUUUUUACUUCUGACUGCCAUGGCAACUGCUACAUGUUUGGCAAAAAGCUUACAGAGAAGAAAAGGGGCUCAGAGCACUCAGCUGGCAGAUGUCCAGUGUAAUCAUGCCGCAGCGCCGAAAUGAGGCCUUUGGCUGGCUGCCGAGCUGGGGAGAACAAAGAUGUCAGUUCCCUGUGUUGGCGGCGGUGCUUGUUUGGCACCCUUAUAUGGUUUCCCAGAACUCCUCGCCUUGGCGGCUUUCCAUUCCCUUUAGGGCAGCAAACAGGAUUAGCACACACAGACUUGUUUUUCUCUUUUCUCCUCCAACUGUUCCAAUGACAUCAUCCCUGCUGCAUUCAGCUGCCAGCAGGGUGACUUUGGGGGUGUUUUUUUUUUUUUCUCUUAAAAAAACCACCAUCAUGUACAUACCAGCAAGCACAAUGGUUUAGGUAAAGCUUGCACACCUUUCUUGUUAAGUUAAAGCCCCUGAAGUGCAGCGAGCUUCGGCAAACCAAGCCAGACGUGCUGCACUUUUUUUUCUUCUCAUAAUUGAAUUCCUGCAAGAUAAAAAUCUCCUUUUCCUCAGCAGGCUGUAAUCAGCGCUCGCAGAGCUGUGGUUUCCAACUGCCCUCGUCAUGUGCUUCCUUAUGAAACUCCAUGGAGAAAUCGCUUUGGCAGGGGCUCCGAUUUAAAGGGCCCAGGAAUGGGGAGCAGCCCCCACUGGCCCCCCAAAAUGGUAGGGAUGGGACCACCCAGGCUGGGGUGCAGGGGUGCAUGGGGGACUGUGGGGCUGCUGCAGGGUGGUGUGGGAGGGAAGCCCCCUCUGUUAAGGAAGGACUUUGUUUAGGAGAGUUUUUAGUUGCUGCUGGCCUUGGAGCGCGGGGAGAAAGAUGCGCACAAGAAACCGCUGAAUUUCCUGCCUUUCCCCUCAAAGCCCAGACAAGGUUUCUGCUUCUGGACAUCUUCUCCCCUGGGCAUUUUCUUCUCUCCACCUGGUCUCUUUGCCAGCCAAAUAGCAGAGCCAUGCACCUUUCCCAAGGCAGCCUCAAGGGAUACCAACAUUGCCCCUGGCCAGGAGGGUGGCAGCCCUUGUUAGGGAUGCUGGGGCCAGCCAGGGCAGAAGGGCUGCCUCCCUGCUCCCCCAGCCUGCCACCAGCCCGACUGUGCUCCUGUUUUCCUUGGCCAGGGCAGCAGGAUAUGAUACUCGCUUCUUCCUGACGCUGCAGACCCAGGGAAGGGGCCCGAAGGGGAUGGUGGGCUUUGCAUGAAGGGUUGCUCAGUGAUGGAAAAGCUCCCCAGCUCGGGGCUGGCCACAGACCACUGGAUGUUUGUCAGCAUGGGAAGAGAUGACCGGUCCAGUUCCUCAUUGGGUCACUCAGUUUUUCCACUGCACAGGCAGAUAGGCAGAUGGAUGGAUGGACAGACAUAGAGGACAAAGCAGGGUUGCUAGGAAAGCUUUAUGUAAGCGGCACUCAGCCAGCGGCUGACAGUGCAGCAAGUGUUCAGCUCCCAGAGCUCCACAUCAAACCUGGCAGCACAUCAAAACCUCUGUUUCAUAACCCACUAGAAAUAGGAUUUUCUAACAGUGCUGAGAGGACUCGCCUUGUUGUGAGGGGACCUGGGAUUUUACCAGCUGUUAAUGGUUAACUAGGCAAUGGCAUAAAAUAUUCGGCAGUGCCCUUCCCCAUGAUGAGGUGUGUGAUUUUACCAGGUGCCGUGCCUGGCAGCAGCCAUGACACCCUGGUCCAUCUGCUAAUAACAUAACUGGGGAAUUAAUUAGCAAUUAACAGCAACCAAAUAAUUACAGAAUCAGCUGACAGAAGAGAGGCUGUGGUGCUGUGAGCAGCUUUCCCAGGAUGGGGACUUCCCUCCGGUGGGAAGGGGUGUGUGAGUGUGCCGCGGGGAGGGAGCAGGGCUGGAGGAGUGACUUCCCUGGGGAAACACAGAUUUCCAGAGGCACUGAGAUUUCAUGGGAAGAAGAGGGCACCAAGAAUUUAAACUGAUGUACCCUGACUGUGAUGACUUCACCCUCCUGCAGCGGCAACCCUCACCUGCUCGCCCCAGCUGACGCACGGCAAGGCUGGGCUGGUGCCAGGGCUGUUCUGGCUGUGCUGAGGGAGCAAAGUGAACGUCAGCCAUGCCCUGAGCUUUAUAAUGCCUGCAAGACCCAGCUCGAGGAGCACUUAGCAGAGCAGCGGCUUUUGUCAAGCCUAGCUGUGGGCGAGGGGCUUGCUGCCAUGCUGAAGGGCAGAGAAAACAGGGCCCAGGUCCCACACCCUGUCUGUUUGCAGAGCUGUCCUGUGCGGGAAGGAGGCAAGAGCCACUCAACUCCUCUGCUUCCAGGCACCAAACCAGACAACAGCGUGCUUUCACCUGAGCCUCUGCCCAUCCUGGCUCCAUGCUGAGAUGCGCUGGUGGCACAGGAAAGGCACUUACAUCCUUUUUUCAGAUGCUGAAAAAAGAGUGAGUGCAUUAGAUAGAUUCAUGGAGAUGGAAAAGGCCCAGGUAUUCAUCUUAUUCAUUGCUCUCUCCUUGCUGAUGAAGAGUUAUCCUUGUCUGGACAUUAUCCAGUAUUUUGUCCAGCCUUGUUUCCAGUGAUUCAAUUGAUGGGGCUUCCAUUGGGAAAUUACAUCACUGUCCAAUGCACUUUGCUGUUAAGAAGCACAUCUUGCCCAUCAUUUGGCUUCAGCAGUUCAUCUCUAGGCUCUAGGCCUGCUUCCCAAUAUUCCAGCUGCUUGUGGGCUCCCAUCUCCUCCAGGUAAACUAGAGGUGUUGAGUUCUUUUCACUUUCUUCAUCACUCAGUCUUAAUUCUUUAAUCAUUUGCUGCUCUCCUCAUCUCUAUUGUCAUCUACCCCUAACUGGCCAGACAUGGCCAAAGCACCUCUGGGUGGAGAGAGCCUCCCUGGUGCAGGGCUGAGGCUCUGUGGGCUGUGGCAGUGGUGGCUCCCUGACAGCUCUGUGCUUCUCCAGCUCUGGGCCAGCAAGCAUGAGCUCAGCGGCUGGCACGGGAGAGCACAGCUGGAGGGAUGCUCUGUUUUACACCAUCUUCUCACGGCCUGGAGGGGCUGUUCUGGCCAAGUAGGACUGCUGAGGCAUAGAAACACCCUGGCCACACAGAGCCUUUUCCUUGGCCAUGCUCCCUGCAAAGGAGCAGGUUUGGGUGGAGAAACUUCUCAGUGCAGCUCCAAAAGGGAGAACUUCCAGGCCAACGUGAGCAGGGUGGUCUUGGUCCUGUCGCUUCCAGGAGCAUCACCAGUGCAGUUGCAGGGUGCCUUAUACCUGGAUGUCUGAGCUGGAUGGCAGAAAUACUUGCUGCACAGCCAAAAUAACUGGAUUGGCCCAAAUUACGUGUCUGAGGGCACCUCAUGUACAGCAGUCUCCUUCCCUCCAUCACCUGGUGCUGCAGAGAAGCAUCAUCAGCAGCUGAUUCUCAUAAUUCUCCUCAGCACUCCUCCUUGGAAGUGCAGGGGUGUCCCUAUUCCUCACCUGCCAGCUUGAAUUGCCCCCAGAGGAAUACAUUUCUGUGCUCAUAUUCUGAGUCCCUUCUUGUCCCCUCACCCCACUUCCAUCCUUCUGUGUCCCUGUACUUAAAGUAACUUGGUAUGAAGACGAUGGGGCCAUGAGCACCUCCGCUCUGUGCUCCCACCCUGGGAGGAGGGGGUCCCUCACUGCCUGUCCCUGUGCACACCACCUCCCCUUGUCCUCUGGGCUCAGCACAGCUUGGCCAGGGCCAGAUGCCUGCGUUCCUCCUUGCCCUGGGACCCAGCGCUCUCCCUCUCUUUUUGUUUCCUUUUGUUUAUGGUACUCGAUCCAGCUCUCAGGCCAUGCGCAAAUGCUCUGCUUCUGGCCAACUUGAAUUCGUGUCAAGGAAGAUUGCGCAAGAGUUCAGGGCUGGUGCUCAGAGCCAGGCCUGCUGGGCUGCCUGUUUUGUCGUCUUGGGCCCCAGUCCUGCCAGAGGACCUGCUGGCACAAACCCCCGCCAAAGCGGAGUCAGCAGGAUGCUGCACAGGCUGCCCAGCUGGGAGGAGACAGAGCAGCAAAGUCCAGUUGAGGUCAGGGACAGGCUUUGCAAAUUUAGUUUAAAAAUUAAAAAAAAAAAAAAAAAAUUGAGAAAGAGCUAUAGAAGUUUGUCUCAGAUGCUUUGUUCUCUAUUAAAGCCAUGUGGAUUGAUGGCAGCCCCAGCUACCUCCAGGUAUAAAUAGCUUUUCUUCCAGUCUCACACUGGGGCUGGGUAGUGAGCUCUGCUGCUGCUGGCUGUGCAGAGGAGCCAGGCUCUGAGCAGUGAGGGAGGGGUUGGCAAGAUGAAAUAGCUUCUCUGAAGUCAAAGGGGAAGAGCUGGAGAGAUCCUGACAGCUUACACAGCUGCAGAUGUGUCCGGAGCCUGAAUCACCUUCCCUCAGUGGCUGGGCUGAGACACCCUGCAGAAGCAGCUCUCUGGGUUGCUGUUAGCAGUCUGACUGGCCUUUGGUGAGAGAGAGUACUUACUACCCCUCGUCCCUCAAGCACAGCUUGUAUUUCAAGUGACAGGAAAACCUUGCUUCCCGUCCAUGGCUUUAAAAAUGCUGCAGGCGAAUAAAAUAAACCAUGUUUUUUUUAAAUGGUUCCUAACUUUCUUUUGAAGGCGGGUUUGUUAUGUUUGGUUGGUUGGUCUGUCUUUUUCAGUGACCUUGUCAACAAAGAUAUCAGCAAAGAGCUGAUAGGGGAAUACUUGGAAAAAUCAAACCUAUCUGCACGAGCAGGCUGUGAUAGGGUGGACCCUGGGAGAGUUAGCUGACCUACUGAGCCUCUGUCAAUUAUUUUUGAAAAAUCAAAGGGAAUGCGAAGCUUUGGGGUAUGGGAGGUUCCUCAGCAGCCUGUGGCUGAAAUGUUGAAGUGCCUCAUGACAUCCAUUGCCAUCACAGCUCAGAAAUUUUGUUAACUUUCCUGACACGGAGUCUCCCCAUUUUGAAGGAAUUCAGAGUGACUUAAAAUCCCUCAGGAAAGCUGUGUCUUUCUCAGAUGUGGGAUUCAUCUCAGCUGACUGUAGAAGUUUGAAAGUCACAUAGUGAUUCAAACUAAUCAUCCUUGCUCUUCUCAUAGGGCAUAAGGAGGAACAGGCAUCUCACAAAACAUGACUAUAUGUUCAGCAGGACAAACCUCUUGCUGGAAGUGUCCUCUUCUGUGGAGCACCGUGGUAGCCUGGGAGGUUUGGUCAGCCAUAGCUGCCUAUCUUAGAGAAGACAAGCACUAAAUGGUAUGACCCACCCUGGAGAAGGGACUCAGUUUUGGCCCUUUGGAGCCACAGAGGAGGCUCUGACGUACACUGACAUAUACUGACAUACGGUGGAUAUGGAAUGACAUAUGAAUUCUUCCUCUGGCUCCCAGGUUGUCGUGCAGCUUCUUGGCUGUUGGCAUUCUCAUUAAAAACCCUGAAGAAUGCAACGAUGCGGCCUCUGAAUUAUUCUCCCUUCCACCAAUUUCAUUUGAAUAUAUGGUAAUAUUCUCCCCAUACUUUCCAGUUUAACAUAAUGCUGAUAAAUGAUAUGACAACGAUAAAUUUUCAUUUUAUUUAAAGCUGUUUAUCAUCCAUAUCUAUUAUGGAAAGUCAUCAAUUAUGCAAAAAGCGUGAAUGUUUAAAGAGCUGCAAAAGUGUCUCUAUUUAUGGAUUGCAUGUUGUGUCUUCUUUACUCCUUGCUUGUGCACACACUGGAGUGACUCCUCCAUUAAGUAUCAUUUUUGCACAAAGAGCCUGAAAAAUGGAACUUGACAGGGGGAUCUUAGUCAAGCUGGAGGUUUGUUGCAAAAUGUGGCCAAGCCACAAAAAUUUCACUUUGUGGGAGAAUCCCUCAACCCUCAAAGCUGGGUCUAAAUCAGAGGACCAGUAAACUGGAUGGAUGCAGAGUGCCUGGAGUCAAAAGGCCAUGCUCUACUGCUUGCCUGAAGCCACCUUCCAUAGUUUAGCCAGGCUCUGUCAGUGAGGAGGAAAGAAAUGGGUCCUUCAUGAGCUCUCAUUAGCAGAAGGGUCCACACUGCUCACAGCCCAGUGAUUUCUGCUGUCUAUGGUCUCUUGCAAAAGCCACAGGAGCUGCAUCCCAGCAACUGGGGUAGGCUUGGAUCUCACUGCAGAAGCUCAUGGCUUGCAGAGUGCUCUGGAGUAAGGGAACAAGAUGCUUGAAAUGGCUGAGACGUGGUAAGCCAGGUAGCUAUUGGUCAUCUCUGAGCUUGCACAGCAACAUCUUUGCUUCGGAGGGCCAAAUUCUGCUGCUGGGUCGUGUCUUUGAAGCCACAUUGCAUUAAUGCUGGUGUAUCAAACAGCUUGUUUUGGCAUGUGCAUUAAACCACAGUAAUAGGGAAAUUUUACAGAAAGAAACGCACAUCGGGGAGUGAACACCAAACAGAGAUCCUUUAAAGGAAUUGGGGAUGUUGAUAUCUUAGAUUGCUUCUUCCUUUCCUUUCAAGAUGCUGACGGGACAAAAAGAGUUAAAGUAAGGAAAUCAGAUCACAAAAGCAAAUUAACUAAGCAGCACCAUCCUGGCCCGAUGCUGAUCUCGUGCAUGGUGUGCCAGCAAAUCCAAGUAACCCGGCGCACAUCUGGGUGUUUCUGGAGCAGCUCUGUCUAUUCAGUCCUGCUGGGGUGUCGGAGGGGUCCCGCAGCUGCCACGGCUCUCCGGCAGCGUGCGACAGGAAAGGGAGAGCUUUCUCACACGCCCAACACAAGAGGUCGAUUGUGGGGAUUGCUGACGGGUGACCUCCCUGUGCCACCGGUGCUGGAGCUGCUGGCUCCUGCAGCACAAGCACCCACCGGGAGACCUUCUGCUCUUGCAUUACAAUGCCCAUAGCGUUGGAAGGUCUGUGAAAUUUGCAACGGUUUCACCUGAAAUGAGAAAAGGGAAGGAAGAAACCCUGCAGCCAUGCAUGUGUCACCCUGCUCCCCUCCCUGCUCACAGCUCUCCCUGCAUCCAAGGGCAGGUUUCUCCGCCAUCUAUCCUGGGCCACAUUCCAGUUUGCAUACCCAUAUGAACCAAAUGCAUCCACAGAGCCACAUUUCCAAGCAGAUACCAGACAUGGAGAUGCUCUGCCCCUGCUGCUGUGAGCAGCAUCACUUCCUUGUGCAGCACUGUGGCCUCCCUGGAAAUCUGAGACUUGGAGUCAUGGCAAUAAACACCUCUUUCCUCAUAUGGCAUUCUUCACAAGGAUUCAAGUACCUGAUACCAUUUCCAGGGCACUGAUGGGUGCUGUGGAGAAAACAUGGCAGAGCACCAAGAUCCUAAGAAAGAGCAUCCAGAGGUGCCUGAUGUCUUCAGUGAUUUGGGAAGCAGCCAUAGGAAUAGCUCUGGUGGCUACAGCUACAAAAGGGGGAUGAAAAUAGAGCAGCCAAACAGCAGUGCCUUUUCUUGAGUUUGGGGUGCCAUUUUUCCUCUUGGAGCUAUAGUGGUGCAUUGCCAGGGGGAGAGCUCACCUCCAAGUCCACAGAGAGCCUUCCACCAUCCUUUGUGUGCUGCAGCUCAGAGCUCAACCCUUCUCCAGCCCCACUCCAUCUCCUAGCUUCUCACAUUCACCUGUAGGCUGUGGCAUCCUGACCCUAAAUUGCACUGGCAAGAGGUUUUUGUAGGAGAAGGCUUGGGGGCUCAUACCUCAGAGCUGCUGUCCUGGUCUUGCCACAGCCUCUGACUCCAUGUGCACACCUUCCAGGGGCUGAGCGAUCACCUAAACCAACAGGAUGACCAAACCCCAGGUAAUCUGUUUGUUCAACAACCUGAUCUGGACAAGAAAAAUGGAAGACUGAUCAAAGUUGCAGAGCAAACUUUUGGAUACGGUCCAGCAACAUGCAUCAAUAAACUCUUCCCUCUGCUUUUCUUUUUCGCUGUACGUUCAGUGCUCUGUCAGUAGUGCCUUAGAAACACCUCACUGCCCACGCUCAAAAUGAGAGCAGCAACAACAACAAAAGGAAAUACAUAGAGGGAUGACUUAAGUGAGUUUGGAAAUCGCUUCUCAUAUGAAACACUCCUUUAGUCACAGGCACAAAAAAGCAUAAAAUUCCCUGCCUCUGAUGUAAACAGCAGAAAGAAAAAGUCAUCUGGAAGGACAGGAUGAUUCAUGCUGAGGACCUGAUUCGAAAUAUUCAUCAGUGUUGAAAUUGCCUCUGCAAGAUGACUACAUGUGAAAACAGCACCAGCGAGAUCCUGGCUUCUGCCAUGAGAAGUAUCAUUAACAGGAAAGCAGUGUGGUGAGAAUCCAGUGCCACAACCCUUGCUCAUGUGAGUAAUCGUAAGUCAUCUGACCAGUCCCAGCUCAAACAGCAGCGUCACUCAGGUAAGGCUGCUUUACGUAAGGGCAGCAGCAGCAGACUGGAGCACGCUCAGGCUUUGCAGCCCCCUUCAACAGCAAAAUGGAAGGGUUUUUUUCUCAGUCUUGCAAAAACCCCUUCCAAGAGGUUCCUUACAAAGAUGCGGCCAGUGUCGAGCACUUGAAGAAGACUGAAAAAUUUGGCCAGUCUUUUCUUUCAUGUUAAUCGCCCUGACCCAAGUGGUAACAAGGCACAAAAGGCCAUGCUGACUUUAUGCAUUGUUAGGAGAUACUUUACCCUGCAUAUUUGAAUCUGUUUACUUAAUCUUCCAGACCUUUAUCCAUGAAUAUUAAAUUCCUUGAUCACUAUGCAUUAGGAGUCAUCUUUGUACCAUCUGUUUGUAUUUGUCAUCUAACCCUUGUAAAUAAUAAAAUGUACUUUGUUCUCAA